rnacentral:lncRNA from 1 species
CACUUCCUGAAUGUCUGUCAUUCUCACCUGUGUCUCUCCCUUUCUACUCUUCUUCCAGCCAUUGUCAUCACUUCCUCAAGCUGUCUAAAUUCUGCUCAGCAGUCUGUGAAAAUGUUGUGCUGAUGACAUAUGUAAGGACUCUAACUCCCCUCAAACAAUCUGCUCACCUGAAAGGCUCACUCCUGUUGUAAUAAAUGACACAUAAGGUCACAAUUCAACCGGUACCCACCUUGGAUACCACUUCUUAUGUAAACAUCAAACAUACACCCUCUUCCCACACACUAAUGUAUCUUGUAUAUUUGAAAUAAAAGUUAGAGAUAUACAUACAGAGAUUUAAAAUCUAAAACUGUCCCCUCCCCAGUAAGUCAUGUAUCUGUUAAAAGAGUAUCUGGAAACCUCCAAAAGGAAGCCAAGCAUAGAUCUCCAUACACCAAGCAAGCAAUCUAUUCUGCAGCAGACACCAACUGGAAGUCCUCCAAUUCAAUUCAAUUCUGACACUGUCUACCUGGAAAUGGCCUCAGCAACCACAGGUUGAGAGCUCAGUCCCACAAGAACACCCCCUCCUUCCAACCAGUUGAAACUCCACACCUCCAGAACUUCUCACUGACUGGCUUCGAGUUGGGGUUUCCACAGU